CGCCGGCGGCGUGCCUAAUACAUGCAAGUCGAACGCACUCUCGUUUAGAUUGAAGGAGCUUGCUCCUGAUUGAUAACAUUUGAGUGAGUGGCGACGGGUGAGUAACACGUGGGUAACCUGCCCUAAAGUGGGGGAUAACAUUUGGAAACAGAUGCUAAUACCGCAUAAAACCUAACACCGCAUGGUGUAGGGUUGAAAGAUGGUUUCGGCUAUCACUUUAGGAUGGACCCGCGGUGCAUUAGUUAGUUGGUGAGGUAAAGGCUCACCAAGACCGUGAUGCAUAGCCGACCUGAGAGGGUAAUCGGCCACACUGGGACUGAGACACGGCCCAGACUCCCACGGGAGGCAGCAGUAGGGAAUCUUCCACAAUGGACGAGAGUCUGAUGGAGCAACGCCGCGUGAGUGAAGAAGGUUUUCGGAUCGUAAAACUCUGUUGUUGGAGAAGAAUGUAUCUGAUAGUAACUGAUCAGGUAGUGACGGUAUCCAACCAGAAAGCCACGGCUAACUACGUG
rnacentral:rRNA from 1 species